rnacentral:rRNA from 1 species
UACGUAGGGUGCAAGCGUUAAUCGGAAUUACUGGGCGUAAAGCGUGCGCAGGCGGUUUUGUAAGUCAGAUGUGAAAUCCCCGGGCUUAACCUGGGAACUGCGUUUGAAACUACAAGGCUAGAGUGUGGCAGAGGGGGGUGAAAUUCCACGUGUAGCAGUGAAAUGCGUAGAGAUGUGGAGGAACACCGAUGGCGAAGGCAGCCCCCUGGGUCAAGAUUGACGCUCAUGCACGAAAGCGUGGGGAGCAAACAGG